GAUGAAGAACGCAGCGAAAUGCGAUACUUGGUGUGAAUUGCAGAAUCCCGUGAACCAUCGAGUCUUUGAACGCAAGUUGCGCCUCAAGCCAUUAGGUUGAGGGCACGUCUGCCUGGACGUCACAUAUCGUUGCCUGAUGCCAGUUUCCUCGUGAUGGGUGACUGUGCAGGGCGAAUGAUGGCUUCCCGUGAGCAUUGUUGCCUCAUGGUUGGUUGAAAAUUGAGUCCUUGGUAGGGAGCGCCGUGAUAGAUGGUGGUUGAGUGACGAACGAGACCCAAUCAUGUGAGACCCCUACCGAAUUUGGCCUUCAUGACCCACAUGCGUCUUUGGAACGCUCAUGACGAGACCUCAGGUCAGGCGGGGCUACCCGCUGAGUUUAAGCAUAUCAAUAAGCGGAGGA
rnacentral:misc_RNA from 1 species